AAUUUACAUUAUAUUAAGAAACAGAUCAAACUGGCCAAUGAACUCACAAGUGUAGGUAGUGUGCCACAUGAGUGGCAAGUUUUCACUAACACUCGACUCUGGCCUGUGAGUGGAGUUUGAUAGUAACUUUUUCUACAAGU
rnacentral:snoRNA from 1 species